AAAGCUCUUUCAGCAGGAACGAAACGGUGGUCCCUAAUACGGGCUACUAAUGACGGUACCUGAAGAAGAAGCACCGGCUAACUACGUGCCAGCAGCCGCGGUAAUACGUAGGGUGCGAGCGUUAAUCGGAAUUACUGGGCGUAAAGCGUGCGCAGGCGGUUAUAUAAGACAGAUGUGAAAUCCCCGGGCUUAACCUGGGAACUGCGUUUGUGACUGUAUAACUCGAGUGUGGCAGAGGGGGGUGGAAUUCCACGUGUAGCAGUGAAAUGCGUAGAGAUGUGGAGGAACACCGAUGGCGAAGGCAGCCCCCUGGGUCAACACUGACGCUCAUGCACGAAAGCGUGGGGAGCAAAACAGGAUUAGAUACCCUGUUAGUCCACGCCCUAAACGAUGCGAACUAGGUGUUGGGGAAGGAGACUUUCUUAGUACCGCAGCUAACGCGUGAAGUUCGCCGCCUGGGGAGUACGGUCGCAAGAUUAAAACUCAAAGGAAUUGACGGGGACCCGCACAAGC
rnacentral:rRNA from 1 species